rnacentral:rRNA from 1 species
CUUCUUGAAUUAAUUAGAGGUUGGGCCUGUCCACUGAUGAAUUGAAGGACCGCGGUAUUUUGACCGUGCAAAGGUAGCAUAAUCAUUAGUCUUUUAAUUAAAGGCUUGUAUGAAUGGUUUGACGAAAUAAUAACUGUCUCUGAAUUAUAUAAUUGAAUUUUACUUUCGAAUUAAAAGGUUCGAAUGAAAUUAAGGGACGAGAAGACCCUAUAGAUCUUAAUGUUAAAUUUUUAUGAUUACAUUAUUGGUUGUAUUCUGUUUUAUAAAUUUUUAUCAUUUUGCUGGGGUGGUGUGAGAAUAUAAUAACUUCUUAAUUUUUAACUUAUUUUAUGGAUAUAUGAUCUUAUAUUAUGGAAUCAAGAUUAAGAUACCUUAGGGAUAACAGCGUAAUUUUAUUGAAGAGUUCUUAUCGAUAAUGAAGAUUGCGACCUCGAUGUUGGAUUAAGAUUAUAAAUCGGUGUAGUUGCUGAUAUUAAUUGGUCUGUUC